AUGAUAUGUUAUAUAAUGUCAUCCAAAGUUCCGAAAAAUAGUCUUACAUGUGCGUGGAAGGAGAACUGUAUUUUUUUAUCUAUACCCUAAAAACUGAAAAGUCAAUACCAACUUUUUCUGUUUCCAUUCGUCGCCGAACGCCAUUUGGAGAGAUGAUUGGAAGAAGCCGAUUAGCUGAAAUCGAUUGUGAGGUGGAGUUGGCGAAGGGAGAAAUCUUAAAGCUUUAUCUCUAGGUUCGUGCUACUGGCAGAAAUUGAUAAUCGACGUUUUCCAAGUUUGCGGCAAAAUUUGCAAGGCGGAGUGAUCUCCUAUCAAACCCAAAUCCAGAUUUACGGGUAUACAGGCGGUCGAUCAAUAAAUAAUUUGCAAGACAAUUUUAAGUUUACAAGCCCAGUUAGGAUUUUCGUAUUUGCCUCCUUCACCAUGGGCCUCUCCAUGGCUAUUUCUGUGUUGUUUUCGUUAGUUUCCCCCACAUGAUUUUCUGGGUUCGUGUUUGUGGAAGCAAGUUAUGUAUGUUGUAAUAUGACUAUACUAUCUACACGAGUUUGAUAGUAUAGUCACCAUGUUUAGUAGAAAUAGCUCACAUAGCAAAAAUUGAUCAAAUUAUGUUGUUUUGUUAAAGUAGAAUAGUAUACAAGUAGUUGUAACUAAAUAUAUUUGAUCUUUAUCGACUCUAUCCAACAUAGGAGCGUUGAGUGAAGUUUGGUUUGCUUGCUCAUGUUAUACUAUAUGACUUUGUUUGUAGUAUAGUUCCAUGUUAUGAUUGUGGAAGCAUGCAUAGAGCUAUGAAGUUGAACAAAGUUCACUAUGUUAUGAUUGGACGCCAUCACUGCUGCAAAUACUAGGAGCCACGAUGAAGCUGCAACUGGCAUUGAAGAAGGACAGCAAGUGGUGACUUUUUACUAGUUAAUGCCCCUGAUAUGCCAUAUAGUUUAGUACAAUUUGAGAACUAAUGGACCUCAUAUGCUGUAUUAGCAUAUAUAUCUCUUGUAUAUAGUGCAGUCCAACAAAUUCAAGCAUUUUAUGUUCACUACUUGUAUAAUGUUUAUCUUCUUGAAUCCGAAUACACAUUCGCACCA